rnacentral:lncRNA from 1 species
AAAAAAAAAAAAAAACCCAAAAUGUUAGGCUCAAAUCUUUUGCUAGGCCUUAGAGUCUCCUCUUAGUGAUGAAGGGAUGUUUAAUGUUAAGGAGGCAACAGCUUUAUUCUUUUUUCACUUGGGUAGGAAACUGCCUCUUCAUACAGAACAAUAUUCAUAUGUUAAUUGAAAGCUAGUAUUAUUUUUGUACAUUCAUCCUCUUUCACUUAUUACGGAAAUUCUUGCUUUCUGGAAGUUUAGUAUCACCUUAGGUAAGUGGACUACCUCAAAAUUUCUGAAACAUUUGGCACCAACUAGAAACAUUAGUGAAGUCCAUGAGAUCAUUUGAGUCUUCUGUAGCUGCCCAGGAAACCGCCUGAUUAGGUUGUGUGUGUGUGUGUGUGUGUGUGUGUGUGUGUGUGUGUAUGUAUGUAUGUAGAACUUGAUGCUUUGAAAUGAACCAUCUGCAAAAUAGAGGCCCAUAAAGGGUAUUAGUUUUGAUGUGCACCUAAUUGCUACAAUUUUCUUGAAAAUAAAUAUUUGAAAGAGAAAUCCUCCAUAAUGGACCUUAAUUACAAGAGAAGUGAUUUUUCCUAUCUUGGGAUAUUUUUCUUUCUUUUUUUUUUUUUUUUUUUGAGACAGAGUUUCACUCUUGUUGCCCAGGCUGGAGUGCAAUGGCGUCAUCUUGGCUCACCCCAACCUCCGCCUCCCAGGUUCAAACCAUUCUCUUGCCUCAGCCUGCCGAGUAGCUGGGAUUACAGGCAUGAGCCACCACGCCCAGCUAAUUUUGUAUUUUUAGUAGAGACGGGGUUUCUCCAUGUUGGUCAGGCAGGUCUUGAACUCCUGACCUCAGGUGAUCCGCCCGCCUCGGCCUCCCAAAGUGCUGGGAUUACAGGCGCAAGCUACCGUGCCCGGCCGGAGGGGGUAUUUUUCAAUAAAGUUUUUCUCAGAGAAUUCAUGCAAGAAAAGUUGUUUAUUCUAACAAGUUUGGUGGUAACUACACAGAUUGGUUUUGGCACUGAUUUUUUAUUAACAGUUGAAUGCUUUAUAAGUAGAGAAAUUGGGUAUCUCCUUUAAGUGGAGAUUAUUUUAUGCUGUGACGAAAAUGUUACACCUGCAGUGAAAGUUUUUCUCAUACAGAAUCCAAAUAAUUGAAUUAAAGCUUUGUAGCACAUGAGAUGACAACAGUCUGCAAUUCUAACACUGUCAGGUACUUUUAUAUCUUAACAACACCAGGCCAAAUUUUUCUUAUUGAUGAUACAUAUACAUAGUGAAGUAGAUUUUUAAAAUUGUAUUUGAAUAUGUCAUUCUGAACCAUACUAUGACAAAAUAAUCACUUCCCACCCCACUGAAGAAAUGAGAAGCCUUUUUCUGGCUUGUCUAGAUCAUUUAAUAAGUUUGUAGAUGCACUCAAAGUUCAGAAAGAAAGCUAACAUAAAGGGGCAAUGAAAUUAACCAUGUCAAGUUUAAUAUGUGAAUUAAUUCUUUAUUACUAGCACUUAGAAGGCAUGGAUACCUACAAAGAAAAAAAAUUGUUAGGUCAAAAAUAGGACAUACUGUUUCUUAUAAGACCGGAGGAGUGUAGAAAGCCUCUCCUGCUUAUGCAAGAUCUGCAGGCUUCCUUCCUCUUUUCCUCCCAAAUUCCAUGAUCUUGCCUAAUGAAGAUUAACUUAACUACCUAAUUAACUUUCACAGGAUUUUUGUGGGGUAGAUAAUAGUUCUUGUUUUUAGUAGUCCAGAUGAAAAGAAUAAGCUGGGCCUCUGACAUUAGCUGUGCUGAUACACGUCUCUUCUACCACCAUCACCCCAGCAUCACUAAUACCUAAAUUGCCAAAAUUCAGUUAAAAUAGAAAUUCAUCUUUUUCAUAGUUUCUAGUAUGGCACUUGUAAACUCCCUAUAUUGCUUUUAACAAACUUGGUAAAUGUAAAUGCAGAAGUCAUCCACUUUUACCAACAGAACAACCAUCAUUGUUCUUGAUCUUUUAUAUUUUAUAUAUAUAAGGAAGGGAAUCAUAACUUUGGGGAUUGCUGUAAGUUGGCCACAUACCUGCCUAUAUAAACUAUACAUCUUUACCAAGAAUUGACUGUGUUCUUCCAGACCCGUGCCACGUAUAGUCAGACUUCCAGUCACAAGCUUCGACUGAAGCUCAAAGUGGAUUUGGGAGGGACUAAUUAUUGAAGUAGGUAUUAUAAGAAUUUAAAGGGAUGCAAAAUUUCAUCUCUGUCUCAAAGAAGCUUAGAGUUUAAUAGAAGAGGGAGGCUAAACUAAAUUGUUCAUAAAUAUAAGUAGAAUAAAGCAUGUAAUCAAAAUAAUACAGGAAAUAUCACAAAUGCUAUGAAAAUUUAAUUGAGGGCAAUUUAUUAUAGGGCAGUGUUUUGAGUAUAUCAUCUUAAUCUUUAAAACACUCCUGUGAUACAGUAUUGUCCUUAUACGGAUAAGAUUUAACUCUAAAAGGUUAACAUCGUUUUUAUUACCACCAGCUAUGAAAUAGAGCUGGGCUUCAAAUCAAGGUUUUCCUUGUUCAGCACUCACUCUUUCCACUACAUCACAGCUGCUUACUGAUUUGAGAGAGAAUUAGGCAAGAAGUCAAUACAAACUGGUGACCAGUAGCCAAACUUGGCUUGAUGUAGUUUUGUUGGGUCAGCAGGAGUUUAACUUUAUUUUUUUUGAGAUGGAGUCUCGCUCUGUCUCCCAGGCUGGAGUGCAGUGGCGCGAUCUCGGCUCACUGCAAGCUCCGCCUCCCGUGUUCGCGCCAUUCUCCUGCCUCCGCCUCCCGAGUAGCUGGGACUACAGGUGCCUGCCACCACGCCCGGCUAAUUUUUUUGUGUGUAUUUUUAGUAGAGAUGGGGUUUCACCGUGUUAGCCAGGAUGGUCUUGAUCUCCUGACCUCGUGAUCUGCCUGCCUCGGCCUCCCUAAGUGCUGGGAUUACAGGCUUGAGCCACCGUCCCCGGCCUUUUUUUUUUUCUAAUGUGAAUGUGUUUGAGCAGUGGCCAGUAUUCCACUCUUUAAGACCUUACACCAGGGCCCCUUGAGACAAAUGACCGAGUACAGAGCUGCAAGUCAUUCCUUCGCACAGUAGUCCUCAAGCUUUAAUGUGCAUCACAGUCUGGAAGGCUUGCUAAAACACAGAUUGCUGGGCUCCAUCUUAGAAUGAGUGUGUCUGAGGUGGAGCCUGAGAAUUACAUUUCUAGCAAGUUCUCUGGUUGCAGAUGCUGCCAGUCCUUGCGAGGAUCACACUUUGAGAAUCACUGCUUACCAAACUUGUAGGGCACUUUUGGGGAAGGCUUGUUGUGUUUCUGUUGUUUAUAAUACAAAAGGAAUUGCUUGUCAGAAUGUGCAGAAAUAGGUUAAAAAGAAAAUUAAAAUUAUCUAUCAGAGAUUAUAAUUGCUAACAUUUUUAAUGGACCAUUCAAGCUCCUUUUUUCUAUGUGUGUAUAGUAUGUACUUUUUUAAGAAACCAAAAUUAUAUAAUAAUAAUAAUAGCUAUUAACACCUUUUUAGCAUCUAUUGUGCACCAGGGUCUUUACAUGUAGUAUUUACUUAAUCCUUUUAAUAUCCUUAUGAAGCAGGUACCAUUACUAUCAUUCUUAUUUUUCAGAUGAAGAACUUGAGGCACAGAAAGGUUAAGUAACUUGUUCAGUGUCUCAUUGCUAGUAGGUAGCAUAAUCAGGAUUAAAACCAAAGCAAGGCCAGGCUAACACCUGUAAUCUCAGCUCUUUGGGAGGCCAGGACAGGUAGAUCACUUGAGGCCAGGAGUUCGAGACCAGCCUGGCCAACAUGGUGAAACCCUGUCUCUGUUAAAAAUACAAAAAUCAGCCGGGCAUGGUGCCUGCCUGUAGUCCCAGCUGCUUGGGAAGCUGAGACAGAAAAAUUGCUUGAAUGUGGUAGAUGGAGGUUGCAGUGAGCCAAGAUCACGCCACUGCCCUCCAGUCUGGGUGACAGAGUGAGACUCUGCCUCAAAACAAAAAACAAAAAGGAAAACAAAAAACCAAAGCAAUCUAGUGCCAGAACCACUCUGCUAUACUGACUCUUCUACUGUGCAUAUUGUUUUUCACCUGUAUUGUAUAAUCACAUCAUGAACAAUCUUGAUAUUAGACAUUUCUUGUUUAACAUUUAAUUUUUUAAUUUUAUGUAAUUUUUUGUUUAAGAGACAAGGUCUUGUUAUGUUGCCUAGGCUGGAGUUGAACUCUUGGGCUCAAGCUAUCCUCCUACCUCAGCCUCCUGAGUAGCUGGGACCUCCAGCACGUACCACCACACUCGGCCUCUUGUUUAACAUUUUAAGUGAAAGCCUGCUUUUUUCUCUUAAAAUAUUUGAAACGUUUAAAGAUAUACGCAAAAAUAAUGUAAAAAAAAACUCAUGCACCCACUACUAGAUUUAACAAAAGUUAAUUUUUCUGCAUAUUUGCUUCAUAAUCCCCCCCUCUUUAAAAAACACAUUAUAGGCCGUGCGUGGUGGCUCACGGCUGUAAUCCCAUUACUUUAGAAGGCCGAGGCAGGUGGAUCACAAGGUCAGGAGAUCGAGACCAUCCUGACUAACACAGUGAAACUCCGUCUCGACUAAAAAUACAAAAAAUUUGCCGGGUGUGGUGGCGGGCAAAAAAAUUAGCCGGGCGUGGUGGCGGGCGCCUGGAGUCCCAGCUACUCGGGAGGCUGAGGCAGGAGAAUAUCGUGAACCCGGGAGGCAGAGCUUGCAUUGAGCCGAGAUUGUGCCACUGCACUCCAGCCUGGGCGACAGAGCAAGACUCCAUCUCAAAAAAACACAUGUUGGCCAGGCUGGUCUUGAACUCCUGUCCUCAGGUGAUCCAUCCUCCUCGGGCUCCCAAAGUGCUGGGAUUACAGGUGUGAGCCACUGCACCUGGCCCAGUGAGGUGGAUUUUUAAAAGUAAAAGAAAAAAAUUGAGUUCCAGAGCUAGAAGUUCCAUCCUCAGUCUGUCUGAAGCAUGCCUCCUGCAAUCCUUUUUCUUUUUUAAGGACCAACAAAGUCAUCACUACAACAUAAAGGACCCUGUGUAAUCAGGCACCUGGCUUCUCUGACAUUAUUUCCGUGGCUUGUGUGCUUCAGCCACACUGGCCUCCUUGUGGGUCCUCAAACAUUCCAAGUACAUUCCUGUCUCAGGACCUUGGCACUUGCUCUUCUGCCUGGAAAACUCCCAGGUAGAAUUUAUAUAGUUGUCAGCUCAAAUCUCAGUUCCAGUGAGAUGGCUUUUCUAACCAGUGUCUCUAAAACAACACCUCUAUCCUUUUUCUCUCUUCCCCUAUCCCACUCAUUUUCUUUUCUUUUCUUUUUUUUUGGCUCUGUCACCCAGGCUGGAGUGCAGUGGCAUGAUUUUGGCUCACUGCAACCUCCCCCUCCUGGGUUCAAGCAACUUGCCUGUCUCAGCUUCCCAAGUAGCUAGGACUACAGGCGCCUGCCACCACACCCGGCUAAUUUUUGUAUUUUUAGUAGGACGGGAUUUCACCAUAUUGGUCAGGCUGGUCUCGAACUUCUGACCUCAGGUGAUCCACCCUCCUUGGCCUCCCAAAGUGCUGGGAUUAUAGGCGUGAGCCACUGCGCCUGGCCCCCACUCAUUUUCUUUAUACCACUAAUCAUCAGGAAUUAUAUGAUUACUUGUCUGUUGUCAUCCUUCCCCACUAGACUCUUUAGUAAGGCUUUUCAUAAGGGCAGGCAGUUUGUUGAUUGUUGGAUUCCCUGUGCCAGGCAUAUAUAGCCUGAAUAGAUAUUGUUGAAUGAAUUAAUGGCUAUCAUCUAUGGCAGUGUGUUUCAGCCUGAUAUUCAAGCAUAAGUUCCUGGAGAAUCCACCAUUUGGUUGCAGUUUAAAAAUGUUUAUGUUGUCAUUUUGAUGCUAAUCUAAAGCAAAGUCAUAUUGUGAUUUUUCCAGAUGAGUACCUUAAAACAUGAAGUUUUGAGAGCCUGAAUUCACACCAAGUUUAGGAUUUUGUUUUUAUCAGUUGAAAGCCAAUGAACAUUGUGACAAAACGUGUAAGGUUUCACGAUCAUUUUGAGAAAAGAGGUGGGAGAGUUGAGUCAUCACAUGUCACACAGUAGCCCAUGGCAAACUCAGUGCUGUAACUGUUGGUGCCACGUUCCUACUAAAAAUAGAAAUUGCACAUAACACACAUGCACUUACAUAUAUUUGCAACAACUUAGUCACUGUAAGUAAAGUAGUAAAUACACAAUGAGGAAUUUUUUUUUAUUUCCCAGGAAGGCUUAAAUUAGAUACCAUAUAAUUCAGAUUUAAAAUAGUCGAAAAAAUACUAACCUUAUCUUAAAGUGAGUAGACUCUAAUCGAGUGAUAUUCAAAUAAAACUGGCUUUCCAGGGUUUUGUAGUGCCAGAAUUUUUGUUAAAAUUUGAGAUCUGAUUAUUUCAAACUAGCAACAGAAGACCAGGAAGUUAAUAAUGCAGUGUAUUUGUGCAAACAGCUGUUUUUGCAUUGACAUUAUUAAAUGUACAGAGGGCCUGGGAGCAGUGACUCAUGCCUGUAAUCUCAGCACUUUGGGAAGCUUAGACUGGAGGAUUACCUAAGGCCAGGAGUUCAAGAACAACUUGGUCAACCCCAUCUCUACAAGUAAUAAAUUUAAAAUUUUUAAAAGUUAGCCAGCUGUACUGGUGUGUGCCUGUAGUCCUAGCUACUCAGGAGGUUGAGACAGGAGGACUGAUGGAGCCCAGGAGUUUGAGGCUGCAGUGAGCUAUGAUAGUACCACUGCACUCCAGCCUGGGUGACAG